AGUGAACGCUGGCGGUAGGCCUAACACAUGCAAGUCGAACGGCAGCACAGUAAGAGCUUGCUCUUACGGGUGGCGAGUGGCGGACGGGUGAGGAAUACAUCGGAAUCUACUUUUUCGUGGGGGAUAAUGUAGGGAAACUUACGCUAAUACCGCAUACGACCUACGGGUGAAAGCAGGGGAUCUUCGGACCUUGCGCGAUUGAAUGAGCCGAUGUCGGAUUAGCUAGUUGGCGGGGUAAAGGCCCACCAAGGCAACGAUCCGUAGCUGGUCUGAGAGGAUGAUCAGCCACACUGGAACUGAGACACGGUCCAGACUCCUACGGGAGGCAGCAGUGGGGAAUAUUGGACAAUGGGCGCAAGCCUGAUCCAGCCAUACCGCGUGGGUGAAGAAGGCCUUCGGGUUGUAAAGCCCUUUUGUUGGGAAAGAAAAGCAGCAGGUUAAUACCCCGCUGUUCUGACGGUACCCAAAGAAUAAGCACCGGCUAACUUCGUG
rnacentral:rRNA from 1 species